rnacentral:rRNA from 1 species
GACGUAGGGGGCGAGCGUUGUCCGGAUUUAUUGGGCGUAAAGCGUGCGUAGGCGGCUGCGCAAGUCGGGUGUGAAACCCCGGGGCUCAACCCCGGAACUGCAUCCGAUACUGCGUGGCUAGAGGUAGGUAGGGGAGAUCGGAAUUCCUGGUGUAGCGGUGAAAUGCGCAGAUAUCAGGAGGAACACCGGUGGCGAAGGCGGAUCUCUGGGCCUUACCUGACGCUGAGGUGCGAAAGCGUGGGGAGCAAACAGG